rnacentral:rRNA from 1 species
GUAAUGAUCUGGACGCUGUCUCAACCGUGAGCUCAGUGAAAUUGUAGUAUCGGUGAAGAUGCCGAUUACCCGCGAUGGGACGAAAAGACCCCGUGAACCUUUACUAUAGCUUAUCAUUGAAUCUGGGCACGUGAUGUGUAGGAUAGGUCGGAGGCUUUGAAGCAGGUACGCCAGUAUUUGUGGAGCCGCUGUUGAAAUACGACCCUUUAUUUGUUUGGAUUCUAACCCGUGGAACGGGGACAUUGAUUGGUGGGUAGUUUGACUGGGGUGGUCGCCUCCAAAAGCGUAACGGAGGCUUCUAAAGGUGCCCUCCGGCCGAUUGGUAACCGGCCUUAGAGUGUAAUGGCAUAAGGGCGCUUGACUGGGAGACUGACAAGUCGAUCAGGUAGGAAACUAGAGCAUAGUG